rnacentral:misc_RNA from 1 species
AGAAAUAACCUUGAUCAUUGUCUUUUUAUUGCUGAAUGUUAAUUAUUUUCGGCAGAAUUGUAUGAACUCUAUUUAUGUGAAAUGUCUACUAUUUGCAUCUACAUAUUGUACAUGUACUAUGUAUUUGUCAACAAGAUUGCACAGCAUUAUAGCGACAUCGUGUGCAAGAAAAAAAAACCCAGAAUACAAGUUUUCUGAUGAUGCUGUUAUUUUAAUGACUUGUAUUAGUCACACAACAGCAUAUAAAAUUUGUGUGCGUUUUAUUUCCAUGGUAUAUAUAUGUUUACAUUGAAAAAUAAAUGUGUUAAAUAU